UCCUACUUAUAUGCUGCUUGCUUGAUAGC
rnacentral:sRNA from 1 species